GCAAACGGGUGUGUAUAUCAUUUGGGCGAGAUGGUAUAAAAUACGACCGAAUUAGAUCGACUGGCAUAGUUUACUUUGAAAGCAAACGAAACCAGCCAAAAUGUUCAAAUACUUAUUAUUGUUCGUCGCCCUCUUCGCCGUCAGCAUGGCCGCUCCUCAGCCCGAGGCAGAAGCGAAACCCCAAUUUUAUGGUGCCUAUCCAUACUCAUUGGGAUACAGCGCAUACAGCGGCUACGCUGGUUACCCUUAUGGAGCUUAUGGUGCUUACCCAUAUGGAAGAUACAUCUACUAAAAUUGACGAGUAAAUUUCACAAUUGUUUGACACGUUUUGUACAAUAUCAGCUUACCCAAUAAAUAUUUCCUAUAUUUUUGAAUAAAUGUUCUUGAAAUGAU